CUUCAACCGUUAAUCAAUUUCAAGGUUUCAACUAAGUCCAAUAAAAAUCAAGGAAUUCUUGUUUCACCUGGUUCUAAUUCGUCUUGGGAAGGUUACGACGAGGUUAGAUCCAAACAUCGUAACGAUCCAGCAGUGAUGAAUAACCUACGUGAGAAAUUGAAGUCGAAAGCUACAGUUAAACAUGCACCCAAAGAAAUAGACAACAAGAUUGAAGGGGUUACAACACACCCUAAUCUCCCAAAGGGAAUGAAAUACGUCAUCAAGAAGAUCCCGUCCCA